rnacentral:tRNA from 1 species
GGAGAGGUGUCUGAGCGGUCGAAAGAGCACGCUUGGAAAGCGUGUGUGCGUUAAUCCGUACCGAGGGUUCGAAUCCCUCCCUCUCCGCCA